AUUGAACGCUGGCGGCAGGCCUAACACAUGCAAGUCGAGCGGAUGAAGGGAACUUGCUCCUUGAUUCAGCGGCGGACGGGUGAGUAAUGCCUAGGAAUCUGCCUGGGAGUGGGUGAUAACGUCCGGAAGCGGGGACUAAUACCGAAUAAGUCCUUAGGGAGAAAGGGGGGGAUCUGCGGACCUCACGCUAUCAGAUGAGCCUAGGUCGGGUUAGCGAGUUGGUUGGGUAAAGGCCUACCAAGGCGACGAUCCGUAACUGGUCUGAGAGUAUGAUCAGCCACCCUGGAACUGAGCCACGGUCCAGACUCCUACGGGAGGCAGCAGUGGGGAACAUUGGACAAUGGGCGCAAGCCUGAUCCAGCCAUGUCGCGUGUGUGAAGAAGGUCUUCGGAUUGUAAAGCACUCUUGGUUGGGAGGAAGGGCAGUAAGUUAAUACCUUGCUGUUUUGACGUUACCAAAAGAAUAAGCACCGGCUAACUUCGUG
rnacentral:rRNA from 1 species